GACGAACGCUGGCGGCGUGCCUAAUACAUGCAAGUAGAACGCACAGUUUAUACCGUAGCUUGCUACACCAUAGACUGUGAGUUGCGAACGGGUGAGUAACGCGUAGGUAACCUGCCUGGUAGCGGGGGAUAACUAUUGGAAACGAUAGCUAAUACCGCAUAAUAUUAAUUAUUGCAUGAUAAUUAAUUGAAAGGUGCAAUUGCACCACUACCAGAUGGACCUGCGUUGUAUUAGCUAGUAGGUGAGGUAACGGCUCACCUAGGCGACGAUACAUAGCCGACCUGGGAGGGUGAUCGGCCAACCUGGGACUGAGACACGGCCCCGACUUCUACGGGAGGCAGCCGUAGGGGAUCUUCGGCAAUGGCCGGAAGUCUGACCGCGCAACGCCGCGUGAGUGAAGAAGGUUUUCGGAUCGUAAAGCUCUGUUGUAAGAGAAGAACGGGUGUGAGAGUGGAAAGUUCACACUGUGACGGUAUCUUACCAGAAAGGGACGGCUAACUACGUG
rnacentral:rRNA from 1 species